rnacentral:miRNA from 1 species
UUCAUGCAUUCACUUCUGCUGA